GGGUUGUGAGGUUAAGCGACUAAGCGUACACGGUGGAUGCCCUGGCAGUCAGAGGCGAUGAAGGACGUGCUAAUCUGCGAUAAGCGUCGGUAAGGUGAUAUGAACCGUUAUAACCGGCGAUUUCCGAAUGGGGAAACCCAGUGUGAUUCGUCACACUAUCAUUAACUGAAUCCAUAGGUUAAUGAGGCGAACCGGGGGAACUGAAACAUCUAAGUACCCCGAGGAAAAGAAAUCAACCGAGAUUCCCCCAGUAGCGGCGAGCGAACGGGGAGGAGCCCAGAGCCUGAAUCAGUGUGUGUGUUAGUGGAAGCGUCUGGAAAGGCGCGCGAUACAGGGUGACAGCCCCGUACACAAAAAUGCACAUAUUGUGAGCUCGAUGAGUAGGGCGGGACACGUGGUAUCCUGUCUGAAUAUGGGGGGACCAUCCUCCAAGGCUAAAUACUCCUGACUGACCGAUAGUGAACCAGUACCGUGAGGGAAAGGCGAAAAGAACCCCGGCGAGGGGAGUGAAAAAGAACCUGAAACCGUGUACGUACAAGCAGUGGGAGCACGCUUAGGCGUGUGACUGCGUACCUUUUGUAUAAUGGGUCAGCGACUUAUAUUCUGUAGCAAGGUUAACCGAAUAGGGGAGCCGAAGGGAAACCGAGUCUUAACUGGGCGUUAAGUUGCAGGGUAUAGACCCGAAACCCGGUGAUCUAGCCAUGGGCAGGUUGAAGGUUGGGUAACACUAACUGGAGGACCGAACCGACUAAUGUUGAAAAAUUAGCGGAUGACUUGUGGCUGGGGGUGAAAGGCCAAUCAAACCGGGAGAUAGCUGGUUCUCCCCGAAAGCUAUUUAGGUAGCGCCUCGUGAAUUCAUCUCCGGGGGUAGAGCACUGUUUCGGCAAGGGGGUCAUCCCGACUUACCAACCCGAUGCAAACUGCGAAUACCGGAGAAUGUUAUCACGGGAGACACACGGCGGGUGCUAACGUCCGUCGUGAAGAGGGAAACAACCCAGACCGCCAGCUAAGGUCCCAAAGUCAUGGUUAAGUGGGAAACGAUGUGGGAAGGCCCAGACAGCCAGGAUGUUGGCUUAGAAGCAGCCAUCAUUUAAAGAAAGCGUAAUAGCUCACUGGUCGAGUCGGCCUGCGCGGAAGAUGUAACGGGGCUAAACCAUGCACCGAAGCUGCGGCAGCGACGCUUAUGCGUUGUUGGGUAGGGGAGCGUUCUGUAAGCCUGUGAAGGUGUACUGUGAGGUAUGCUGGAGGUAUCAGAAGUGCGAAUGCUGACAUAAGUAACGAUAAAGCGGGUGAAAAGCCCGCUCGCCGGAAGACCAAGGGUUCCUGUCCAACGUUAAUCGGGGCAGGGUGAGUCGACCCCUAAGGCGAGGCCGAAAGGCGUAGUCGAUGGGAAACAGGUUAAUAUUCCUGUACUUGGUGUUACUGCGAAGGGGGGACGGAGAAGGCUAUGUUGGCCGGGCGACGGUUGUCCCGGUUUAAGCGUGUAGGCUGGUUUUCCAGGCAAAUCCGGAAAAUCAAGGCUGAGGCGUGAUGACGAGGCACUACGGUGCUGAAGCAACAAAUGCCCUGCUUCCAGGAAAAGCCUCUAAGCAUCAGGUAACAUCAAAUCGUACCCCAAACCGACACAGGUGGUCAGGUAGAGAAUACCAAGGCGCUUGAGAGAACUCGGGUGAAGGAACUAGGCAAAAUGGUGCCGUAACUUCGGGAGAAGGCACGCUGAUAUGUAGGUGAAGUCCCUUGCGGAUGGAGCUGAAAUCAGUCGAAGAUACCAGCUGGCUGCAACUGUUUAUUAAAAACACAGCACUGUGCAAACACGAAAGUGGACGUAUACGGUGUGACGCCUGCCCGGUGCCGGAAGGUUAAUUGAUGGGGUUAGCGCAAGCGAAGCUCUUGAUCGAAGCCCCGGUAAACGGCGGCCGUAACUAUAACGGUCCUAAGGUAGCGAAAUUCCUUGUCGGGUAAGUUCCGACCUGCACGAAUGGCGUAAUGAUGGCCAGGCUGUCUCCACCCGAGACUCAGUGAAAUUGAACUCGCUGUGAAGAUGCAGUGUACCCGCGGCAAGACGGAAAGACCCCGUGAACCUUUACUAUAGCUUGACACUGAACAUUGAGCCUUGAUGUGUAGGAUAGGUGGGAGGCUUUGAAGUGUGGACGCCAGUCUGCAUGGAGCCGACCUUGAAAUACCACCCUUUAAUGUUUGAUGUUCUAACGUUGACCCGUGAUCCGGGUUGCGGACAGUGUCUGGUGGGUAGUUUGACUGGGGCGGUCUCCUCCUAAAGAGUAACGGAGGAGCACGAAGGUUGGCUAAUCCUGGUCGGACAUCAGGAGGUUAGUGCAAUGGCAUAAGCCAGCUUGACUGCGAGCGUGACGGCGCGAGCAGGUGCGAAAGCAGGUCAUAGUGAUCCGGUGGUUCUGAAUGGAAGGGCCAUCGCUCAACGGAUAAAAGGUACUCCGGGGAUAACAGGCUGAUACCGCCCAAGAGUUCAUAUCGACGGCGGUGUUUGGCACCUCGAUGUCGGCUCAUCACAUCCUGGGGCUGAAGUAGGUCCCAAGGGUAUGGCUGUUCGCCAUUUAAAGUGGUACGCGAGCUGGGUUUAGAACGUCGUGAGACAGUUCGGUCCCUAUCUGCCGUGGGCGCUGGAGAACUGAGGGGGGCUGCUCCUAGUACGAGAGGACCGGAGUGGACGCAUCACUGGUGUUCGGGUUGUCAUGCCAAUGGCACUGCCCGGUAGCUAAAUGCGGAAGAGAUAAGUGCUGAAAGCAUCUAAGCACGAAACUUGCCCCGAGAUGAGUUCUCCCUGACUCCUUGAGAGUCCUGAAGGAACGUUGAAGACGACGACGUUGAUAGGCCGGGUGUGUAAGCGCAGCGAUGCGUUGAGCUAACCGGUACUAAUGAACCGUGAGGCUUAACCUUACAACGCCGAAGCUGUU
rnacentral:rRNA from 1 species